rnacentral:rRNA from 1 species
GCUUGUCUCAAAGAUUAAGCCAUGCAUGUCUAAGUAUAAACAAAUCUAUACGUGAAACUGCGAAUGGCUCAUUAUAUCAGUUAUAGUUUAUUUGAUGGUUCUUGCUACUUGGAUAACCGUAGUAAUUCUAGAGCUAAUACAUGCGUCAAACCUCGACUUCUGGGAGAGGUGUAUUUAUUAGAUAUACCGAGUAGGUGAAUCAUAAUAACUUCGCAAAUCGCAGUAAUACUGCGAUAAAUCAUUCAAGUUUCUGCCCUAUCAUGCUCUCGAUGGUAGUGUAUUGGACUACCAUGGCUCUCACGGGUAACGGGGAAUUAGGGUUCGAUUCCGGAGAAGGAGCCUGAGAAACGGCUACUACAUCUAAGGAAGGCAGCAGG